CAUCACCUGUGCCACCAGAAGCCACCACAGCUUUGGGGCACAACCUGAAGUCCCUCACAGUCACCUUCCCCAUCUCCACCCUCAAGUAUUCAUCAGACAGGAGCAACGGCUCAGCCAUGUUCAACUCCACUGAGAGGGUCCUGCAGAGCCUGGGGAGACCCUGGUCCCAGCAGCUCCUGGCCUGAAAAGGAUGGGGAAGCCAGCAGUGUGGACGCUGUCUGCAC